GAAGGCAUGUAUAUGUGGUUUUGGUUCUCAAGCAGUAUUCUAUGAGAACAUUGGUUCAUCGUCUGCUUCAACUACUCAACCUCAAGAUUGUAGUUUUGAUGCUCGGGUGAAGGAAUACGUUCAAGAAAUGAAGCAUGAGAUGAGAGAAGAGAUACGACAUGAAUUAAGUGAAGAAAUGAAACAUGAAAUGCAUCUACAAAUGCAAGAGCAAGUUGAUACACCACCUUAGCUUAGACGUGACCCAUCAUCAGUAUGUCAGAGCUGGGCUGCCUAAACCAUCCUCCAGUAAACUGCCCACUGAUACACCACCUUAGCUUAGAC
rnacentral:misc_RNA from 1 species